GAUGACUGCUCCCUGACCAAUCUGAGCCUGGUGGGAAAUGGACUGAUGGACAGCAGCGUGGCUACCCUCACCAGGGGUGUUUGCCUGUCUGUCCCUCCGUGGUGUCUGUGGACCUGUCAGGGAACCCGGCGGUGACCUCAGCGGGACUCCACAGCAUCCUCUCCACCCAGUGACCUUUGACCUAUCUCAAACUCCAAGGUUGUCAGGCAGCCGGCCCUUGGGACAGCUCUAGCUUGGACGGCCUGUCAGAACAGGUCCAGGACCUGUGGCUGUGCUCCCAGAACCUCAACAAACUGGACCGUGAGGCCCUGCAGCAGACCUGAGGCCAGAGGAGGCCCGGGUGCUGCUUCCUCUCCAGAGAUGUCAAGUGCCCGCUCAAUACUGCCCCCUCGUUCUGAGGAGGAUUCCUUGAGUUCUUACACCCUUAAAGAAUGGUGUCGCCUCCCGAGUGGCAGAGCGGUCUAAGGCACUGCAGCCCUGGGUUCAAUUUCAGGCUAUGUCACAGCCGGCCGUGACCGGGAGACCCAUAAGGCGACGCACAUUUGGACCUGCGUCAUCCGGGUUAGGGGAGGGUUUGGCCGGCCGGGAUUUCCU